AUUGGAUUAAAUUAUUAAUUUUUUUGUUUAUUGAUUAUAUAUUUAAGAAUUAAAAUUUUAUGUUAAUUUUUAUUAUUUUGUUAAGAAAAAAUUUAGUUUAUAAUAGUUAUUUUUAUUGAAAAAGAUCUUUAAAAUAUUAUUUUAUAAUUUGGAAAGUAGUAUUUAUUUUAUGUACCUUGGGUAUCAGGGUUGAUUAAUUAAAUUUUAAUUAUUUUAAUUUUCUCGAAAUAAGAAGAUCUAUUUUAAUAAUAUUUUUAUUGUAGAAUAAAUAUUUUUAAUAUUAAAAUAGAAAUUAGAAGUUUAUCGUUUCUUAUAUAUCUAGUUUUUUCAUAAAUAAAUUGAAUUUAUUUAUUUAAAAUUAAUGUUUUAAUUUUUUAAGAUUUUAAUGUAAAUAUCUUAUAUUUUUAGGGUUUAGCUUGAAAAUAAAUUUUUAUAAAUUAUUAGUUUUACUAAAUUUGUAAGUUUGGAAGUGUUUAUCAUUAAAAGGAUGUUAUAAUUAAUUUAGUGUAUAGUAAGAUUUAUUGGUUUUUAAUAUAUUUAUGAAAAUAAAUUUUUUAAUUUUUUAGAUUUUUUAAUAAUGAUUAAAUUAGUAUAUUUAUAUGUAAUUAUUUAUUUUAAUUUUAGUUUAAAAUAAGGAAUUCGGCAAAUUUAUUUUUCGACUGUUUAUCAAAAACAUUUCUUUUUGUUUAUAAUAUAAAGUUUGGCCUGCUCAAUGAAGAUUUUAAAUAGCUGCGGUAUUUUGACCGUACAAAGGUAGCAUAAUCAUUAGUUUUUUAAUUGAAAGCUAGAAUGAAUGGUUUAACGAGAAAAUAGCUGUCUAUUUUAAUUAUUAGAAUUUAAUUUUUAAGUUAAAAAGCUUAAAUGGAUUUAAAAGACGAGAAGACCCUAUAGAUCUUUAUAAAGUUUAUAAUAUUAAAUUUUUAGGUUAUUAAAUUUUUUAUUAUAUAUUUUAUUUUAUUGGGGUGAUAUAAAGAUUAAAUAAACUCUUUAGAUUUAAAUUAAUUAUUUUUAUUUUUUUGAUCCAUUUUAAUGAUUAUAAGAUUAAGUUACCUUAGGGAUAACAGCGUAAUUUUUUUGUAGAGUUCAUAUCGAUAAAAAAGAUUGCGACCUCGAUGUUGGAUUAAGAAAUGAUUUGGGGGCAAAAGUUCAAAUUCAAGGUCUGUUCGACCUUUAAAUUCUUACAUGAUCUGAGUUCAGACCGGCGUGAGCCAGGUUGGUUUCUAUCUUUAAAAAUUUAGGAUAUUUUAGUACGAAAGGACCAAAUAUUUAGUAAAUUACUUGAUUUAGAUUAAUAGUA
rnacentral:rRNA from 1 species